rnacentral:rRNA from 1 species
CCCUGGUAGUCCACGCCCUAAACGAUGUCUACUAGUUGUCGGGUCUUAAUUGACUUGGUAACGCAGCUAACGCGUGAAGUAGACCGCCUGGGGAGUACGGUCGCAAGAUUAAAACUCAAAGGAAUUGACGGGGACCCGCACAAGCGGUGGAUGAUGUGGAUUAAUUCGAUGCAACGCGAAAAACCUUACCUACCCUUGACAUGGCUGGAAUCCUCGAGAGAUUGAGGAGUGCUCGAAAGAGAACCAGUACACAGGUGCUGCAUGGCUGUCGUCAGCUCGUGUCGUGAGAUGUUGGGUUAAGUCCCGCCACGAGCGCAACCCUUGUCAUUAGUUGCUACGAAAGGGCACUCUAAUGAGACUGCCGGUGACAAACCGGAGGAAGGUGGGGAUGACGUCAAGUCCUCAUGGCCCUUAUGGGUAGGGCUUCACACGUCAUACAAUGGUACAUACAGAGCGCCGCCAACCCGCGAGGGGGAGCUAAUCGCAGAAAGUGUAUCGUAGUCCGGAUUGUAGUCUGCAACUCGACUGCAUGAAGUUGGAAUCGCUAGUAAUCGCGGAUCAGCAUGUCGCGGUGAAUACGUUCCCGGGUCUUGUACACACCUUAAAGGGCACCAUGGGAGCGGGUUUACCAGAAGUAGGUAGCUAUCCGU